rnacentral:rRNA from 1 species
UACGGAGGGGGCAAGCGUUGUUCGGAAUCAUUGGGCGUAAAGGGCGCGUAGGCGGUCACGCACGUCCGUUGUGAAAUCGCUCGGCUCAACUGGGCGGGGUCAGCGGAUACGGCGUGGCUGGAGCAAGCUAGGGGGCAAUGGAAUUCCCGGUGUAGUGGUGGAAUGCGUAGAUAUCGGGAGGAACACCAGUGGCGAAGGCGGUUGCCUGGAGCUUUGCUGACGCUGAUGCGCGAAAGCGUGGGGAGCGGUCCGG